rnacentral:rRNA from 1 species
UACGUAGGGUGCGAGCGUUAAUCGGAAUUACUGGGCGUAAAGCGUGCGCAGGCGGUUUUGUAAGCCAGAUGUGAAAGCCCCGGGCUUAACCUGGGAAUGGCAUUUGGGACUGCAAGGCUUGAGUGCGGCAGAGGAGACUGGAAUUCCUGGUGUAGCAGUGAAAUGCGUAGAUAUCAGGAGGAAUACCGAUGGCGAAGGCGGGUCUCUGGGCCGAUACUGACGCUGAGGAGCGAAAGCGUGGGGAGCAAACAGG